GCUUGCUGGGGUGGAUGAGUGGCGAACGGGUGAGUAACACGUGAGUAACCUUCCCUUGACUCUGGGAUAAGCCUGGGAAACCGGGUCUAAUACCGGAUGCGACCGUCCACCGCAUGGUGGGGGGUGGAAAGAUUUAUCGGUCUUGGAUGGACUCGCGGCCUAUCAGCUGGUUGGUGGGGUAAUGGCCCACCAAGGCGACGACGGGUAGCCGGCCUGAGAGGGUGACCGGCCACACUGGGACUGAGACACGGCCCAGACUCCUACGGGAGGCAGCAGUGGGGAAUAUUGCACAAUGGGCGCAAGCCUGAUGCAGCGACGCCGCGUGAGGGAUGACGGCCUUCGGGUUGUAAACCUCUUUCAGUAGGGAAGAAGCGAAAGUGACGGUACCUGCAGAAGAAGCGCCGGCUAACUACGUGCCAGCAGCCGCGGUAAUACGUAGGGCGCGAGCGUUAUCCGGAAUUAUUGGGCGUAAAGAGCUCGUAGGCGGUUUGUCGCGUCUGCCGUGAAAGUCCGGGGCUUAACCCCGGAUCUGCGGUGGGUACGGGCAGACUGGAGUGCAGUAGGGGAGACUGGAAUUCCUGGUGUAGCGGUGAAAUGCGCAGAUAUCAGGAGGAACACCGAUGGCGAAGGCAGGUCUCUGGGCUGUUACUGACGCUGAGGAGCGAAAGCAUGGGGAGCGAACAGGAUUAGAUACCCUGGUAGUCCAUGCCGUAAACGUUGGGCA
rnacentral:rRNA from 1 species